AAUAUAUAAUUUUGUAAGUCGCUCUGGAUAAGAGCGUCUGCUAAAUGACUUAAA
rfam:Salmo salar isolate Sally breed double haploid chromosome ssa20, whole genome shotgun sequence.